rnacentral:tRNA from 1 species
GGAGAGAUGACCGAGUGGCCGAAGGUGCUCGCCUGCUAAGCGAGUGUGCGUUUAAUAGGCGCACCGAGGGUUCGAAUCCCUCUCUCUCCG